AUUGAACGCUAGCGGGAUGCUUUACACAUGCAAGUCGAACGGCAGCGCGGACUUCGGUCUGGCGGCGAGUGGCGAACGGGUGAGUAAUGUAUCGGAACGUGCCCAGUAGCGGGGGAUAACUACGCGAAAGCGUAGCUAAUACCGCAUACGCCCUACGGGGGAAAGCAGGGGAUCGUAAGACCUUGCACUAUUGGAGCGGCCGAUAUCGGAUUAGCUAGUUGGUGAGGUAACGGCUCACCAAGGCGACGAUCCGUAGCUGGUUUGAGAGGACGACCAGCCACACGGGGACUGAGACACGCCCCAACCCCCCACGGGGGGCAGGAGGGGGGAAUUUGGGAAAAUGGGGGAAACCCUGAUCCACCCACCCCGGGUGGGGGAUGAAGGCCUUCGGGUUGUAAAGCAUUUUUGGGAGGAAAAAAACGUCGCGGGCUAAUACCCCGUGGAACUGAGGGUACCGGCAAAAAAAACACCGGCAAACUACUU
rnacentral:rRNA from 1 species